GAUGAACGCUGGCGGCGUGCCUAAUACAUGCAAGUCGAGCGAACGGACGAGAAGCUUGCUUCUCUGAUGUUAGCGGCGGACGGGUGAGUAACACGUGGAUAACCUACCUAUAAGACUGGGAUAACUUCGGGAAACCGGAGCUAAUACCGGAUAAUAUUUUGAACCGCAUGGUUCAAAAGUAAAAGACGGUCUUGCUGUCACUUAUAGAUGGAUCCGCGCUGCAUUAGCUAGUUGGUAAGGUAACGGCUUACCAAGGCAACGAUGCAUAGCCGACCUGAGAGGGUGAUCGGCCACACUGGAACUGAGACACGGUCCAGACUCCUACGGGAGGCAGCAGUAGGGAAUCUUCCGCAAUGGGCGAAAGCCUGACGGAGCAACGCCGCGUGAGUGAUGAAGGUCUUCGGAUCGUAAAACUCUGUUAUUAGGGAAGAACAUAUGUGUAAGUAACUGUGCACAUCUUGACGGUACCUAAUCAGAAAGCCACGGCUAACUGCGUG
rnacentral:rRNA from 1 species